AAAUGGCUCCAAAAAAAUUCACCUACUUUGGUAAUUUUUUUUUAAGUGCACACUGAUAUGACAGCGGUCACAAUACAAUCUAAUAAAAUUGUUUCAAAUGAAGUUAAAGACAACUAAGCACUACUAGAGCCACUUUAUGGAAAAAAGCUAAAUGAACUAUUCAGCCAACCCAAUAAAAAAGGAAUUAAGUUUUGUUGA